GAUGAACGCUAGCUACAGGCUUAACACAUGCAAGUCGAGGGGCAGCGCAGUGUAGCAAUACAUGGGCGGCGACCGGCGCACGGGUGCGUAACGCGUAUCCAACCUUCCCGUUACUCAGGGAUAGCCUUCCGAAAGGGAGAUUAAUACAAGAUGGUGUUUCACUUUCGCAUGUUAUUGAACUAAAGAUUUAUCGGUAUCGGAUGGGGAUGCGUGACAUUAGAUAGUAGGCGGGGUAACGGCCCACCUAGUCUACGAUGUCUAGGGGUUCUGAGAGGAAGGUCCCCCCACACUGGAACUGAGACACGGUCCAGACUCCUACGGGAGGCAGCAGUGAGGAAUAUUGGUCAAUGGUCGGAAGACUGAACCAGCCAAGUAGCGUGAAGGAUGAAGGUUCUAUGGAUUGUAAACUUCUUUUAUAUAGGAAUAAAACCUCCCACGUGUGGGAGCUUGUAUGUACUAUAUGAAUAAGCAUCGGCUAAACUCCGUGCCAGCAGCCGCGG
rnacentral:rRNA from 1 species